UACGUAGGGUGCGAGCGUUAAUCGGAAUUACUGGGCGUAAAGUGUGCGCAGGCGGCAGAGCAAGUCGAGUGUGAAAGCCCCGGGCUUAACUUGGGAAUUGCGCUCGAAACUACUUUGCUGGAGUGUGGCAGAGGAAGGUGGAAUUCCACGUGUAGCGGUGAAAUGCGUAGAGAUGUGGAGGAACACCAAUGGCGAAGGCAGCCUUCUGGGCCAACACUGACGCUCAUGCACGAAGCGUGGGGAGCAAACAGGA
rnacentral:rRNA from 1 species